AAAAAGCAGGUACUCAUUUUGACCAAUGUUUUUUCCUGGUCUCACUAUGAGUAAAUGCUGCGUAGUACAUUUCAGCCGUUACGACGAUCAACAAGAUAUAAAACAAUGUAUCGAGAUCUUUGAAAUAUAACCAUAUUAAUAACGAUAGGCCUGUAAGGAAUACAAAUAAUAAUAUUUGUUAAAAUAACUUUAAACAUUUUUUAUCGACAUAAAUUAAGAAAAAACUAAAAUAAUCAAAUAUAUCAUAUGCCUAUAUAAAUAUCUCAACACGAGUCGAAAUAUUUUAAAAAUUCCACGUAUUUACAAUCCUCAGCAGGUACAUACUAAAGUAAUUUUUUUUUUUAACAAAAAAAUGUCCUUUUAAAUCGUGGUCAUAGAGGCAGCGUUGCCCAUAGUUCGUACCUACUUCAGUAAAAUUUAAUGACCACCACAUCGGUCAGGAGUACCUCCAAUAGAUAACCAUUGUCACUUAUCACCAUGUACAACAAACUAAGAUAGUAGGUAAUAUUUGUUUUCAAAUAAAUAACAACAUAAUAUUAUUUUAUUGUUCGCUAAAUUGUAAUCGAAUGAUUCAAAACAAGGAUCAGUAAAUAAGUAGAUAUUAUGUCCAGAUGCUGUCUCAAACAUAAUCCAAAACACUUGUCUGGAAUAGAAAAGUAAAGUAAACAAUAUAAAAUAAAUAUUAAUAAUUUACAUUAACACUGUUAAUACUCUUAGCACAACUAGUAAAUCAUCUAAGAGGUAAAAUCAUUUAAUAUAAUUCAUGAAUUAGGGACAUAAAUAGUUUUAACAACUUGACAUUUUCAGAAAAUUAUAUUUCUCCACCGAUGAGUUAGAAGAAAAUGAAUAUACCAAUAAAGAAUUUGGACACCUUAUAAUUGAUGAUUUUAAUUCACCCAGAAAAGCCUUGGAAACUUAUUAAUGUCUAAUUCACAGACACUUAUUUCAUACAGUGGACCAUUCAUAUAAUGGUUAUCAAAACUGAAAUAUAUGAUGUAGUAUAUAAAAAGAACUAAGAAGUCAAGCCAAUGUAUUGACAAUUUUUCAGUGUUGACUUGAAGAAAAUUCUACCAGCUCAGAUGAAGCCAUACAAUAUUGGAGUGAAUUAUGUAACUCAAAAGUAUGGCACGUAAAAUAGCAAACUUUAAUUUUGAGAAAUGUUGGACAUUUGUACAAGGAACUGUAAACAAAAUCAUAAUAAUGGACAAUAUAGCAAGAGACACAUUGAAUAAAUGUUUUGAUAUUUUCAAUGAUUCACACAGUCAGAAACUUUAUAAUUCAACAAAGUUGUUACUAGAGGAACGGGUACUUCAACUAUUGAGUUGACCUAGAAGAAGGAAUCAAUGGCGUAAAUUGGGCUGAAUUGUUAGAUUUGCAAUAAGUUUAGUUUGGACAGACUUUUAGGGGCUUAGCCCCC